rnacentral:rRNA from 1 species
GACGAACGCUGGCGGCGUGCUUAACACAUGCAAGUCGAGCGAAUGGAUUAAGAGCUUGCUCUUAUGAAGUUAGCGGCGGACGGGUGAGUAACACGUGGGUAACCUGCCCAUAAGACUGGGAUAACUCCGGGAAACCGGGGCUAAUACCGGAUAACAUUUUGAACCGCAUGGUUCGAAAUUGAAAGGCGGCUUCGGCUGUCACUUAUGGAUGGACCCGCGUCGCAUUAGCUAGUUGGUGAGGUAACGGCUCACCAAGGCAACGAUGCGUAGCCGACCUGAGAGGGUGAUCGGCCACACUGGGACUGAGACACGGCCCAGACUCCUACGGGAGGAAGCAGGAGGGAACCUUCCGCAAUGGACGAAAGUCUGACGGAGCAACGCCGCGUGAGUGAUGAAGGCUUUCGGGUCGUAAAACUCUGUUGUUAGGGAAGAACAAGUGCUAGUUGAAUAAGCUGGCACCUUGACGGUACCUAACCAGAAAGCCACGGCUAACUACGUGCCAGCAGCCGCCGUAA